rnacentral:rRNA from 1 species
CCUAGGGUGGCAGCAGUGGGGAAUAUUGGGCAAUGGGCGCAAGCCUGACCCAGCAACGCCGCGUGAAGGAAGAAGGCUUUCGGGUUGUAAACUUCUUUUGUCGGGGAGCAAAAGCCGGACGUGUCCGGCUGUGAGAGUACCCGAAGAAAAAGCAUCGGCUAACUCCGUGCCAGCAGCCGCGGUAAUACGGAGGAUGCGAGCGUUAUCCGGAUUUAUUGGGUUUAAAGGGUGCGCAGGCGGAUUUUUAAGUCAGCGGUCAAAUCGUGGGGCUCAACCCCAUCCAGCCGUUGAAACUGGGGAUCUAGAGUGUGCGAGAGGUAUGCGGAAUGCGUGGUGUAGUGGUGAAAUGCAUAGAUAUCACGCAGAACCCCGAUUGCGAAGGCAGCAUACCGGUGCACAACUGACGCUCAGGCACGAAAGCGUGGGUAUCGAACAGGAUUAGAUACCCCGGUAGUC